GCUGGAUGCCUGGAUGGUCUUCUCUUCACACGCUGCCACGCCUUUUCUGGUAGCGGCAUCGUGCCAACUGCCAGAUGGCAGAUGCUAACCUGAUACUACGUGCGUGAUUGCUUGGGCGCAUCACCCCUGCCCAAGCUCCCGGAAACCUUGGGUGAUUGGUUGCCUGAGCUUGGUAGUGGGUCUAGCCCAUGGCGUGCAAAAGGGGAUCCGAGCCUGGCUCCCAGGGUGUGGCAAAAAUCCUCAUUUCCCCGGAGUUAGGCUCGCUCGGUGCGGCAGCGAGCGUGUGGGUAGCAAAAAUGGCCGCGCGCGUGCAAGCAGGAAGGAGCACGGGAAGAAUUGGGUUACCGUCUCGAUUUCGCACCAUUCGCCGGCUAUAUAUCCUCACCUCUCCUCCUCCCUCGCGCUCACUCGCCAUUUUCGCCGUCACCGAGUAGAUCUUCACUGGAUUUGCGUUCUUUGGUUGUUUCAAGAGCUUCAGAUCUGCUGUUCCUCCCUCACUUCCCAUCUGAUUUGUUGGUUGACCGGCUUCCUACUGUUGUUGCGGUAUAGAAAGCAUUAACCCCUCCUCCUAUCUCCUCUCAUAAAUCUUGUGGUCGCGCUUAUAUUAUUGUGCAGUGCUCUGGAUGCUAUUUUUGUGAUGAAAAUGUUGUUGGAUUUGCUAUAUUCAUACUUGAUGGGAAAAGCUUAUUCAGUGAUGCUUUGUUUGUUCUGUUAAUCUAAGAAUUUGUCCAUGUCAGCGAUGCAUUGCCUGUAAUUCUGAGCAUGCUUGUCCAUGUUAGUGAUGCAUUUCCUGUAAUUUUGAGCAUACUUGUCCACGUCAAUGAUGACUUAACUAUUUAAUCUGAGCAUACUUGUCCAUGUCAAUAAUGCAUCUCCUAUUAAUCUGAGCAUAUUUGUCCAUGUCAAUGAUAUUUUUUAUGUUGAAAUGAGCACUUGUCCAUGCAUGUGAUGGUGCUUCAUGUUAAU